rnacentral:rRNA from 1 species
AUUGAACGCUGGCGGCAGGCCUAACACAUGCAAGUCGAGCGAGCGGCGGACGGGUGAGUAAUGUAUGGGGAUCUGCCUGACAGAGGGGGAUAACUACUGGAAACGGUGGCUACUAGCGCAUACUACCGGUUGAACCCAUAGGGGAUUAGCUAGCAGGUGGGGUAAAGGCUCACCUAGGCGACGAUCUCUAGCUGGUCUGAGAGGAUGAGCGGCCACACUGGGACUGAGACACGGCCCAGACUCCUACGGGAGGCAGCAGUGGGGAAUAUUGCACAAUGGGCGCAAGCCUGAGGCAGCCAUGCCGCGUGUAUGAAGAAGGCCUUAGGGUUGUAAAGUACUUUCAGCGGGGAGGCGUUACCCGCAGAAGAAGCACCGGCUAACUCCGUGCCAGCAGCCGCGGUAAUUC